UACAGAGGGUGGCAAACGUUGCUCGGAAUCAUUGGGCGUAAAGCGCACGUAGGCGGCCUAGCAAGUGAGGAGUGAAAGCCCUCGGCUUAACCGAGGAAGUGCUUUUCAAACUACUAGGCUUGAAUACUGGAGAGGGUCGCGGAAUUCCCGGUGUAGAGGUGAAAUUCGUAGAUAUCGGGAGGAACACCAGUGGCGAAGGCGGCGACCUGGACAGAUAUGACGCUGAGGUGCGAAAGCGUGGGGAGCAACAGG
rnacentral:rRNA from 1 species